rnacentral:lncRNA from 1 species
CAUCUCUUGACCGGGGUGUUCUCACCAUGCCCUUUCUACAAACAAAAAAAUGAAGAUGUGGAGACCUGGAGACAGGUGGCACCUCGUGCUUCCUCCGAAGGGAGAGCCCAUUUCCUAACAGCUGGAUCAAAGGCAUGAAAUGAACAUGGAGUCCCUGAAGAUGAAGAGAAGGCAUGGCUUCCAGGGAGAAAUUGUACAUUACAGGAAUGCAGAUGUGAUUCCUAUGGAUGAGGGUAACCUAGAGGCUAGAAGAACAAUAGGACAGAAGAAGCCUGGGUCCCUGAACAACCUUGUGGAGCAUAGACACCUACGUGGCCUGGACUGCCAGCUCACAAUGGGCCUCUCUGUGAGAGAAGGAAACUUCCCUCUUGUUUAAGCAACUGUGCUUUUGAGAAUCUCUUGGUCUAUACCCUAAUGAAUAAGGCCAUCAUAAAUGGAUAUCAAAGUAAGGAAAUUUGUGUAAAUGAUUUAAUAAAACAUUACCUCAGGUAUGAAAUAA